GGUAAUUAGUUGCCCGUGGCUGGGGUAUGCGGUCGGUGGCAGGCGUUGUCCGGAUUUAUUGGGGGGAAAGCGAGAGCAGGCGGUGCCUGAAGUCUGAUGUGAAAGCCCACAGCUCAACCGUGGAAGGUCAUUGGAAACUGGGGAACUUGAGUGCAGAAGAGGAGAGUGGAAUUCCAUGUGUAGCGGUGAAAUGCGUAGAUAUAUGGAGGAACACCAGUGGCGAAGGCGACUCUCUGGUCUGUAACUGACGCUGCGGCUCGAAAGCGUGGGGAGCAAACAGGAUUAGAUACCCCGGUAGUC
rnacentral:rRNA from 1 species